rnacentral:rRNA from 1 species
UACGUAGGGUGCGUGCGUUGUCCGGAAUUAUUGGGCGUAAAGAGCUCGUAGGCGGUGUGUCACGUCGGCCGUGAAAACCUGCAGCUUAACUGUGGGCGUGCGGUCGAUACGGGCAUCACUGGAGUUCGGCAGGGGAGACUGGAAUUCCUGGUGUAGCAGUGAAAUGCGUAGAUAUCAGGAGGAAUACCGAUGGCGAAGGCAGGUCUCUGGGCUGACACUGACGCUCAUGCACGAAAGCGUGGGGAGCAAACAGG